GCAUUAUGGAGUAAUUCUUUUAUUAAGGUAGAAAAGAUGUCAUUGAUGGAUGAGUUGGUGUUUUAUAUUACAUGUAAGUGGCAAAUAUUAUCUUUACCUAUCAUGCCUAUGGCAUGUACAUGUAUGAUAUUGCAAGUACUCGACAUGUCCGUUUACUCAAAUAAUUUGCUUGUAAACAUGAAUUUUUAUUAUAUAUAUUAUUAGCAUGGGGCUAUGACAGAUGUAUAAGUUUUACCAAAAACAUUAUGGGAAGAGC
rnacentral:lncRNA from 1 species